AUUGUAGGUGAUGCUGCAGUUGGUAGAGGCGUGACAAGACACAUCAUCUCGUCUGCCAUUUCCAAGCUGAAACAAGGAUUUAAAAUGAACUUCGGAAAUGCUGCAGUGACUGCAAUGUUUGAAGGGGAAACUGAUCACCUUGUACCAACUACUUCAGCAGUGCUUGCUGAGAGCGAGCUGUUUGUCAUGGCUGGUCGGCUGAUUGGCCACUCUUUAAUUAAUGGAGGUCCAACCUUGUCGGGCAUCAGCUUGGCAGUAGUGCAUGCCUUGACAAGUGGUUCAAAGGAGUUGGCGACAACAUACCUUUCCCUAGAGGACUGCCCAGAUAUUGACCACAGAGAGAUCAUUGGUUUCGUAACUGCUGAAAGAAGAGAUGACUGAGGAAGAGACUUCAAGAUUGUCCAAUCUGUGUAUGGAGUGGUAUUUUCCUGUGCCAACCAAGGAGACAAACAAACUUCUCCUCUUACAGCAGCUCCUCACCCAUGCUGCCAUCACUCGACUUAGUGUGCAAAUGAAGCACCUGAAAAGGGGACUUAAAGAAACGGGUAUCUGGCCACUAAUUACAUCCAGACCUGAUGUUGUGCCCCUCCUCUUCCCGAGGGAAAGUGAAGUGGAAAUCACACCCCAGAUGGUCCUGCAGUCAAUCGUUUGGCCGCACCUAAAAAAAAGGUAUGACAGUGACGACAGCGACGAUGACUUGGAGGCGGAAACUGCACUGGUGGCUGGGUUAUUCCGUCAGUUUGUCGAAGAAGGUAAAAUGUCUGCAUGAGCAUUUUGACAGUAUUUAUAUGUUAUUUUGAAAAUGACAAAAGACAUGUGCAUUACAUACCAGCAUAUUUCUGCUAAUCAUGUCUUACAACACAGCACAGAUAAAUUAGGUACAUUAGCAGUAUUCAUAUACAGUAAUUAUUGGCAUUUGGUGGAAAAAGGAUGCAAAGCCCUUGUUAGGUUUCCAAACAGUUUUGUAUACCAGUUACAAAAAGACUAUGUGGCUAUAGAACAGACUUAAAGUAAAAUGAGAAGGUGUCUGGUGUUUACGCUGCACCAAAAAUACGAUUCAGUUGUAUUUGAGAAGGAAUGCAAUUCACAAAACACCACAUCUUUGAGGACCUUCAACGAAUAAAUCACAUUAUUAUAUAGAUGCCACAGGAAACAUGGUGUUUCUCUUAGUCUAUGCUUUGACAGGAGGUCAAUCAGUUAACAAGGUAAAAGGUAUUCAAAUGAUUUUGAUUUUUUAAUGAUAUCACAUUUAUAUGGAUCUGUUGCUUAUAUUUAAAAUACUUUUGCCUAAAUAUCUCAAACGCGACUUUAUGAAUGAUUCAAUUAUACAGAAAAUUCCACAUGUAUCUAAAACAAAUUAAUUUAUACUUUUCAUAGCGUCUUCAGACAAACUGCGUGAGCUCCUGAGGUUUUGGGUUGGCUGGGAGGUCCCUUGCCAAGAGCUGAAGCUUGAAGUUGUCCUGUCAACUGGACCUAACCAUAUGCCGACGUCUUCAACCUGUAGUGAGCGAUUACGGCUACCAAGUCACUACACCACCUACCAGGCCCUGUCAGCCGACAUGAAUGUGUGUCUGAAAUCAGUAGAGACAGGCUUUGGUCUUAUUUGAUAAAUAUGUAUUGAUGUUUCAUUUGUUGAAAAAUUGCAGUUCGACAUGGCAAGUCAGUUAAAAUAGAAAGUAAUUUUAUUAUUAGCCUUGCAUUUUUUUUUUUUUUUUUACAAAUAAUGUCCAUCAACACAGUCUUGACAGGAAGUUGUGUUCCUGAGGUGACUACUAAAUGUUUGUCAGGCAUCCCUGUUCAUCAUGUGGUUUUUUGCUGAAAUAUUCCACAAAUGUUUGGCAUUCAAACAUAAAAUAAUUUUCAUGUUUCUGGUGUACAUUAAACUUUAUAAAGUUAA